AUUGAACGCUGGCGGCAGGCCUAACACAUGCAAGUCGAGCGAGCGGCGGACGGGUGAGUAAUGUCUGGGAAACUGCCUGAUGGAGGGGGAUAACUACUGGAAACGGUAGCUAAUACCGCAUACCAUCAGAUGUGCCCAGAUGGGAUUAGCUAGUAGGUGGGGUAACGGCUCACCUAGGCGCCGAUCCCUAGCUGGUCUGAGGGGAUGACCAGCCACACUGGAACUGAGACACGGGCCAGAGCCCUGCGGGGGGCAGCAGGGGGGAAUAUUGCGCAAUGAGGGGAAGCCUGAUGCGGCCAUGCUGCGUGUGUGAAGAAGGCCUUCGGGUUGUAAAGCACUUUCAGCGGGGAGGCGUUACCCGCAGAAGAAGCACCGGCUAACUCCGUGCCAGCAGCCGGGGUAAUUC
rnacentral:rRNA from 1 species